CUUAAUUUGACUCGACACGGGGAAACUCACCCGGCCCGGACACAGUAAGGAUUGACAGAUUGCGAGUUCUUUCUUGAUUCUGUGGAUGGUGGUGCAUGGCUGUUGACGGGGGUUGCUCUAGCUCUGGUUCG
rnacentral:ncRNA from 1 species